rnacentral:rRNA from 1 species
CGGCGGAUGGGUGAGUAACACAUGGGCAACCUGCCUGUAAGCUUGGGAUAACUCGCGGAAACGCGUGCUAAUACCAAAUAAAGCUCAAGCACCUCUUGGUGUUGAGAUAAAAGACGGCUUUUGCUGUCACUUACAGAUGGGCCCGUGGCGCAUUAGCUAGUUGGUGGGAUAAGAGCUUACCAAGGCCACGAUGCGUAGCCGACCUGAGAGGGUGAUCGGCCACACUGGGACUGAGACACGGCCCAGACUCCUACGGGAGGCAGCAGUAGGGAAUCUUCCGCAAUGGACGAAAGUCUGACGGAGCAACGCCGCGUGAGUGAUGAAGGUCUUCGGAUCGUAAAACUCUGUUGUUAGGGAAGAACAAGUACCGUUCGAAUAGGUCGGUACCUUGACGGUACCUAACCAGAAAGCCCCGGCCAACUACGUGCCAGCAGCCGCGGUAAUACGUAGGGGGCAAGCGUUGUCCGGAAUUAUUGGGCGUA